rnacentral:rRNA from 1 species
UACGUAGGGACCGAGCGUUGUCCGGAAUUAUUGGGCGUAAAGAGCUCGUAGGCGGUCCGUCACGUCUGCCGUGAAAACCCGAGGCUUAACCUCGGGCCUGCGGUGGAUACGGGCGGACUAGAGGUAGGUAGGGGAGAAUGGAAUUCCCGGUGUAGCGGUGAAAUGCGCAGAUAUCGGGAGGAACACCGGUGGCGAAGGCGGUUCUCUGGGCCUUACCUGACGCUGAGGAGCGAAAGCGUGGGGAGCGAACAGG